AACGAACGCUGGCGGCGUGCCUAACACAUGCAAGUCGUACGAGAAAAUCCGUUUCGGCGGAUGAGUAAAGUGGCGCACGGGUGAGUAACGCGUGGAUAAUCUGCCUUUAAGCUGGGAAUAACUCAUCGAAAGGUGGGCUAAUACCCGAUAAUGCUAUGCAGCUAAGGUUGUAUAGUCAAAGAGAGCCUCCGCUUGCAAGCCCUCACUUAGAGAUGAGUCCGCGUACCAUUAGCUAGUUGGUAGGGUAAUGGCCUACCAAGGCGAUGAUGGUUAGCUGGUCUGAGAGGAUGAUCAGCCACACUGGAACUGAGACACGGUCCAGACUCCUACGGGAGGCAGCAGUGGGGAAUAUUGCGCAAUGGGGGAAACCCUGACGCAGCAACGCCGCGUGAGUGAGGAAGGUUUUCGGAUCGUAAAGCUCUGUCGGGUGGGAAGAAAUGUAUGGAGGUUAAUAGCCUUUGUACUUGACGGUACCGCCAAAGGAAGCACCGGCUAACUCCGUGCCAGCAGCCGCAGUAAUAC
rnacentral:rRNA from 1 species